rnacentral:rRNA from 1 species
AGCGAACGCUGGCGGCAGGCCUAACACAUGCAAGUCGAACGAACUCUUCGGAGUUAGUGGCGGACGGGUGAGUAACACGUGGGAACGUGCCUUUAGGUUCGGAAUACCUCAGGGAAACUUGUGCUAAUACCGAACGUGCCCUUCGGGGGAAAGAUUUAUCGCCUGUAGAGCGGCCGGCGUCUGAUUAGCUAGUUAGUGAGGUAAAGGCUCACCAAGGCUACGAUCAGUAGCUGGUCUGAGAGGAUGACCAGCCACAUUGGGACUGAGACACGGCCCAAACUCCUACGGGAGGCAGCAGUGGGGAAUCUUGCGCAAUGGGCGAAAGCCUGACGCAGCCAUGCCGCGUGGAUGAUGAAGGUCUUAGGAUUGUAAAAUCCUUUCACCGGUGAAGAUAAUGACUGUAGCCGGAGAAGAAGCCCCGGCUAACUUCGUGCCAGCAGCCGCAGUAACAC